rnacentral:rRNA from 1 species
GUAUGUGGUUUAAUUCGACGCAACGCGCUAGAACCUUUACCUGGUCUUGACAUCCCGGGAAUCUUGUGGAAACACGAGAGUGCCUGCAAGAGGAGCCUGGAGACAGGUGCUGCAUGGCUGUCGUCAGCUCGUGUCGUGAGAUGUUGGGUUAAGUCCCGCAACGAGCGCAACCCUUAUCCCUAGUUGCCAUCAGGUAAAGCUGGGAACUCUGGGGAGACUGCCGGUGAUAAACCGGAGGAAGGCGGGGAUGACGUCAAGUCCUCAUGGCCCUUACAUCCCGGGCUACACACGUGCUACAAUGGCAGGUACAGAGGGCUGCGAAGCCGCGAGGUGGAGCGAAUCCCAGAAAACCUGUCUCAGUCCGGAUUGAAGUCUGCAACUCGACUUCAUGAAGGCGGAAUCGCUAGUAACCGCGAAUCAGCAGGUCGCGGUGAAUACGUUCCCGGGCCUU